AUACGGAGGAUCCGAGCGUUAUCCGGAUUUAUUGGGUUUAAAGGGUGCGUAGGCGGUUUGAUAAGUUAGAGGUGAAAUAUCGGGGGCUUAACUCCGAAACUGCCUCUAAUACUGUUAGACUAGAGAAUAGUUGCGGUAGGCGGAAUGUAUGGUGUAGCGGUGAAAUGCUUAGAGAUCAUACAGAACACCGAUUGCGAAGGCAGCUUACCAAACUAUAUCUGACGUUGAGGCACGAAAGCGUGGGUAGC
rnacentral:rRNA from 1 species